GAAAAGCAAACCUUGCCAUAUUUCCAAUUGGGAAAAUUAAGUACAUUACCUCCAGUCACAUCAAAAGGGCAUUGGAUUCUAUUACAGAUGGUUGUGAGUCACUAUGUGGUUGCUGAGAAUUGAACUUAGAACCUCUGAAAGAGCAGUCAGUGCUCUUAAUCACUGAGCCAUCUCUUGAACCCCCAUGAAGAACAUUUUCUAUGACUAUAAAACUAAUAUCGGCAAUCACCAACAGAUAACAAAACCAUCUUGUACCCAGAUUCUUUUCUAAGACUUGUUUACUGAAAUUAAUAUUCAGAGUCAGUCUCUGCCAGAAUCUAAUUAUAGAAGAAAGAUCAUAUUGGCAAUGUAUUGCAACUGGGUAAAAAAAUUUCUAAUUGUGAGAAAACUGCAUCAGCGGUAACAAGGACUUUUAAAAAUCUUUCUGAGCUGCUUAUUUAGCUUAAAAAUAGCACAGACAAUACAGAAUGUCAGGUCAAAGUCAAAUUGUCAGGUAACACACUUUGAUCAUUUCAGAAUCUUACUGUUAGAGCUACAGUUGACUACAGGACAAGCAUGUGUCUAAAGCUCAUUGGCACACAGAGUCUGAGCUUAAAGCAGAAACUUUUUAUUCAGCAAUUAAGCCAAAGAAGAAGGUUACUAGUAGCCCUGUCUUCACAAGGCUUAAAAAUAAAUUACCUCUUUUGUUUGUUUGGUGAAAUUAAUACAUAUCUGCUCUUGAUAUGUUUCCUAUAAAAAUAAUGAUUUGUAUUUUUCUUUCAGUGGAAAGAUUUAUUCAUCACGGUUGAGGGAAUGAUGAUGAUGAUGACGAUGAUGAUGGAAACUGGUACAUUUAGUAUUUUUUCUGUAUCAGAGAGUGUGAUUAAUGAUAUACAUGUCAUUCUUUGUUUGUAGCUCUGAGAAAGGCAACAUAAUUAGAUCCUUUUUACAAACCAAGUGCACAAAAGCAAAGAAAAAUAGCAAUUUUUAAGCACCCUAGAGAAGUAUCAACUAUUGAAUGAGCAGAAUUUCCACAUGAAGCUGCAGUUUGAUACUAGCCUGAUCUGGCUGCCCCUUUAAAACACGGACUUACAUCUCCACUUCAUUCUAAAUUAAGCUCUAUUUCCACUGAUUGUUGUUGGGGUUCUUGACCGAUCACUAGAUCAACUCUGACCUCAUUAAGGUUCCCAGGGUUGUUACCCGGGUCAUGUCUAUUCUAUUUUAAACAUGUUUUACUCAAUUGUCUUAUUGGAAUUAGUUUUUACUUGUUGAAUAAAAUUGUUUUUCUAUUUUGUCAAUAAAAGUUGAAUUGUAAUAUACAAAACAUAUUAGCUUAGGCAUUAGUUUCCACAUGGGAAAAUCUAAUUACUGUCCAGAAAUCAGGUAUUGUUGGGAUUCUAGCUGGUUAGUCGCCAUUCCAGCCUUUCACAGAGAUUCUUACCAAAUAACAUGAAGAACUUGAGAAUGAUAGGGAAUUUGACUCCACUCUUCAGCAUCAAAUGUUUAUAUAUGUACUAUCUAGACACUGUUCCUUUAAAACACACAGAUUUCAAAGAAUUAAGAAUUGUCUGUUUUAAUCAUAAAUAUCACUUUCAAAACACACAAAUUAGUGUUUUUGUUUAAUUUAACUUUGGCCUCGGGAGUGUAUUAUGAAAUAGUGGUCCACCAAAUGUCAAGAAGGCAAAUAGCAUCCUGGCCAUUACACAGCAUAGUAGUGUCACAGCUAAAAGAGAGCACCAAGUCUUUAUGCAGAGCAGUUUUUUCUAUUUAUUCUGAAAGGAAUUGAGACCCCCCUAUCAUAUGGCCCCUUUGAGUCAAUGGGAGUAUGUGUGGGGUGGGGAGGGGGAGUUCUAAGUAGCCCAUAAAGGACCAAAGCUACCUCUGUGAAUCCGCUUAAGCCUAAGGCCAUGGAUUCUUUAGUUUCCCAGGGGUCUACACCUCUCUGUGUGAACUCAUCACACAUCUCCCUGCAUCCUUGCUCCGCAUUCCUGCUGCAUGGCUUUGUACACCUAUGCUUUGGAAAUGUUUUACUCUGAUUUUCUGUUACUCUACAUCUUCUAUUUUAAACCCUUAUUUUCUCUUUCCUACAAAGCCUUUUCUUAUUAUUUCAGUUCCUGCUGAUUUCUUUUCAGAUUUUCCCUGUAUUCUAUCACCCUCUCUCAAGUGUGCUAAUCUCACCUUCCCAAGUAUAUUUCAAAUAUAUUUAAAGCCAGGAAUGUGGUCUUAACAUUUUUUGUGUGUUAGAUGUUGCAUGCCUGGAAUAAAUGCUUGAAAUGCGCUGUUUUACAUUGAGUCUGUUCUUACAUAUUUUAUGAUACAAAAGUACAUAGAGCUCAUUUCAGGUCACUUGCUUCCUUGAUAUGAAUAUAAGGGAAUAAGAUAAGCUUUCUUCUAAUGAUUAGCAUAAGAGUUCUUUCUGGGAAUCAUAACGAAAGGAUCCACCCAGUCAAAGUAUCAGGAACUGAAUUUCCACAUGUAAUUUAUUUUACUCACAGCAGUUUGGGUUUAAUUUGACAACUCUCUCAUUACAACUC
rnacentral:lncRNA from 1 species